AUUGAACGCUGGCGGCAGGCCUAACACAUGCAAGUCGAGCGGAUCGGCGGACGGGUGAGUAAUGCUUAGGUCUCUGCCUGGUCGUGGGGGAUAACGUUCGGUAACGGGCGCUAUUACCGCUUCCUAUCAGAUGAGCCUAGGCCGGAUUAGCUAGUUGGUGGGGUAAAGGCAUACCAAGGCGACGAUCCGUAACUGGUCUGAGAGGAUGAUCAGUCACACUGGAACUGAGACACGGUCCAGACUCCUACGGGAGGCAGCAGUGGGGAAUAUUGGACAAUGGGCGAAAGCCUGAUCCAGCCAUGCCGCGUGUGUGAAGAAGGUCUUCGGAUUGUAAAGCACUUUAAGUUGGGAGGCGUUACCAACAGAAUAAGCACCGGCUAACUUCGUGCCAGCAGCCGCGGUAAUUC
rnacentral:rRNA from 1 species